rnacentral:lncRNA from 1 species
AGGAACUGAAGAAAGCUUAACUCAUUCUAUUUUCUUUUCUUGGACAGAGAAAAUGUGGUGAGCCAUUAAGCCCAGCAGUGCAAGCAGUUGAGGGCCAGGACAAUCCUGACAGAAGAGUUCUUCAGCCAGUGGCAGAGGACAACCGUGAAAAGCUAGUUCCUGAUACUGACUUAGAUCCCCGUGAUGGAGGUGCUCAAGAAAUCAACACUGUCACCAUCUCAUCUAACCAGCCUGCUGUGGAAGCUCCUCUAGUAUUUCAGAAACCACUGGACUCCAUUCCAACUAAUGGCCCUAAUGCCAUGAUUGACCCAGAUAUUGUGGGAAUUAAGAACAUCAUCCCAGAUAUGGUCGCACCAUUUGUCUACAUCCCUCCCAAUUUGGAAAUACCAGAUUUUACAGAAGUCAUUAUUAGAAACAACACUGUGAUGAUGAGCAACCC